GCGCAGGUGGCGGAAUUGGUAUACGCGCCACCUUGAGGUGGUGGUGCCGAAAGGCUUGGGGGUUCGAGUCCCCCCCUGCGCACCA
rnacentral:tRNA from 1 species